GAUGAACGCUGGCGGCGUGCCUAAUACAUGCAAGUCGAGCGAACGGACGAGAAGCUUGCUUCUCUGAUGUUAGCGGCGGACGGGUGAGUAACACGUGGAUAACCUACCUAUAAGACUGGGAUAACUUCGGGAAACCGGAGCUAAUACCGGAUAAUAUUUUGAACCGCAUGGUUCAAAAGUGAAAGACGGUCUUGCUGUCACUUAUAGAUGGAUCCGCGCUGCAUUAGCUAGUUGGUAAGGUAACGGCUUACCAAGGCAACGAUGCAUAGCCGACCUGAGAGGGGGAUCGGCCACACUGGAACUGAGACACGGUCCAGACUCCUACGGGAGGCAGCAGUAGGGAAUCUUCCGCAAUGGGCGAAAGCCUGACGGAGCAACGCCGCGUGAGUGAUGAAGGUCUUCGGAUCGUAAAACUCUGUUAUUAGGGAAGAACAUAUGUGGAAGUAACUGUGCACAUCUUGACGGUACCUAAUCAGAAAGCCACGGCUAACUACGUG
rnacentral:rRNA from 1 species